CACUCACAGACACACACACUCUGUCACUCACAGACACACACACACUGUCACUCACAGACACACACACUCUGUCACUCACAGACACACACACACUGUCACUCACAGACACACACACUCUGUCACUCACAGACACACACACUGUCACUCACAGACACACACACUCUGUCACUCACAGACACACACACUCUGUCACUCACAGACACACACACACUGUCACUCACAGACACACACACUGUCACUCACACACACACACACACU